AGACUUUGUGUAAUAGGUUGGUUCUUUGAGUUGUAAUAAGUCUUAAUUCUAGUCUCAGUGAAAUAUAAAUUGAGUUAGAAGUUGUGUCUUCAAGUUAGGGAACUCGAAGACUUAAGAACACUUAUCUUGGGAAGAUUUGUGUAAUUGUAGAAAUUAGAGUUAGAAGUUUAAUUCUUAGUUUACAAGAGUCUUGUAAUUUGUUAAUUGUUGAGGCUCAAGAGUUUUAGUGAAGUUGGGG
rnacentral:lncRNA from 1 species